rnacentral:piRNA from 1 species
UAUAUUUCCNGGCUUUUAUCCCUGAGGGCA